rnacentral:rRNA from 1 species
GGUAGAGAUACGUUAGGUGCCCUUCGGGGAAAGCGGAGACAGGUGGUGCAUGGUUGUCGUCAGCUCGUGUCGUGAGAUGUUGGGUUAAGUCCCGCAACGAGCGCAACCCUUACGGUUAGUUGCUACGCAAGAGCACUCUAGCCGGACCGCCGUUGACAAAACGGAGGAAGGUGGGGAUGAUGUCAAAUCAUCAUGCCCCUUAUGACCUGGGCCUCACACGUACUACAAUGGCCGUUAACAGAGGGAAGCAAAGCCGCGAGGCAGAGCAAAACCCCAAAAACGGUCUCAGUUCGGAUCGUAGGCUGCAACCCGCCUGCGUGAAGUUGGAAUUGCUAGUAAUCGCGGAUCAGCAUGCCGCGGUGAAUACGUUCCCGGGCCUUGUACACACCGCCCGUCACACCAUGGGAGCCGGUAAUGCCCGAAGUCAGUAGCCUAACCGCAAGGAGGGCGCUGCCGAAGGUAGGAUUGGCGACUGGGGUGAAGUCGUAACAAGGUAGCCGUAUCGGAAGGUGCGG